CACGACUAAAGAACUUCUUGAUUCAAUUUUAGAUGCUGUUCGGAUUUGGUAGAGAGAACCAUGCUGUUGUCGGGGAGCUUUUGGAAUCAAAGUCUUGUGUUCAAAUGGACAUGAGCACACCAAAAUCAAUGCCAACAGAUGUAAAUUGGAAUCCACAGGGAGGAGAGAGGGCAGAGCCGCAGAGAGAGAGA